UACCGGAUAAGUCUUUACGGAGAAAGCUUUAUGCACCAUUGGAUGAGCCUGCACUUGAUUAGUUUGUUGGUGGGGUAAUGGCCUACCAAGACUUUGAUCAAUAGCUGAUUUGAGAGGAUGAUCAGCCACAUUGGGACUGAGACACGGCCCAAACUCCUACGGGAGGCAGCAGUGGGGAAUCUUGCACAAUGGAGGAAACUCUGAUGCAGCGAUGCCGCGUGAGUGAAGAAGGCCCUUGGGUUGUAAAGCUCUUUCGUCGGGGAAGAAAAUGACUGUACCCGAAUAAGAAGGUCCGGCUAACUUCGUGCCAGCAGCCGCGGUAAUACGAAGGGACCUAGCGUAGUUCGGAAUUACUGGGCUUAAAGAGUUCGUAGGUGGUUGAAAAAGUUGGUGGUGAAAUCCCAGAGCUUAACUCUGGAACUGCCAUCAAAACUUUUCAGCUAGAGUAUGAUAGAGGAAAGCAGAAUUUCUAGUGUAGAGGUGAAAUUCGUAGAUAUUAGAAAGAAUACCAAUUGCGAAGGCAGCUUUCUGGAUCAUUACUGACACUGAGGAACGAAAGCAUGGGUAGCGAAGAGGAUUAGAUACCCUCGUAGUCCAUGCCGUAAACGAUGUGUGUUAGACGUUGGAAAUUUAUUUUCAGUGUCGCAGCGAAAGCGAUAAACACACCGCCUGGGGAGUACGACCGCAAGGUUAAAACUCAAAUGAAUUGACGGGGACCCGCACAAGUAGUGGAGCAUGUGGUUUAAUUCGAAGAUACGCGCAGAACCUUACCAACACUUGACAUGUUCGUCGCGACUUUAAGAGAUUAAAGUUUUCGGUUCGGCCGGACGAAACACAGGUGCUGCAUGGCUGUCGUCAGCUCGUGUCGUGAGAUGUUGGGUUAAGUCCCGCAACGAGCGCAACCCUCACUUUUAGUUGCCAUCAUUUAGUUGGGCACUCUGAAAGAACUGCCAGUGAUAAGCUGGAGGAAGGUGGGGAUGACGUCAAGUCCUCAUGGCCCUUACGUGUUGGGCUACACACGUGCUACAAUGGUAUCUACAACAGGAAGCAAGACGGCGACGUUUAGCAAAUCCUCAAAAGAUACCUCAGUUCGGAUUGCACUCUGCAACUCGAGUGCAUGAAGCUGGAAUUACUAGUAAUCGUGGAUCAGCGUGCCACGGUGAAUGCGUUCCCGGGUCUUGUACACACCGCCCGUCACACCAUGGGAGUUGGUUCUACCUUAAGGCAAGGUUUAAAACCCUUGACCACGGUAUAGUCAGCGACUGGGGUGAAGUCGUAACAAGGUAGCCGUAGGGGAACCUGCGGCUG
rnacentral:rRNA from 1 species